AAAACUCUGCAAGCUUUUUUAAAAACCUGGCCAUCCCAUUUCAACAACUUAAUAGAACUAAACAUUAGCAUUGCUAUACCCCAAAUAUUUUGGUGCCCUGGAAUCAGGUGACCAUGUAUAAAAGUGCUAUAUUUUCUCUCUGGUCAACCCAAAGUAUAUAAUGAAUAUCUAUUCAAUAAACUCUUCAUACUUCAAAUCUUUGUUGUACUUUUUGUACUUGCCUGAAACAUUUUGCAGAGAACUUUAUCUACUUUAUACACCCUUCAGAUGAGAUUAUUGUAUCCUGUUUUAAACUUCUCUUUGUGAUUUCUGUUGUACUUUCUCAAUUUAGAGAACAACGCCAAACGCCAGCUCACAGAGGCUGAGAAGAACAGAGUCUUGGUGAAGUAUGAGAAUAGACGUGGUCGUGUGGAGAUGCAUUCAGAACUCUGCAAGACGGUCAGAAACAAAGAUGUGAAAACCUACAUGGAAUUAAUUAUGAAGCUGAAGAAACAGAAUGCACGAGCAGUCCUCAAAAAGGGAUUGACUGGUGUAGCUCACCUCCGAACCAGCUCUCAAUCUUCAGGAGUUGUCAAGGUUCUUUCGAAUUAUAUUGAGAAAGUUACAGAAUGUCUGCAUAAGACACAGCUUUUUUUUUUUUUUUUUUUUAACAUUUUUUUAUUACAAUACACACAUCAUACUUUAUCACAGUUGUAGUCAUCGGGGACAUUAUUUGGAGUAAUAUUGGCAGAAUCUACCUCCGUGAACGAGGAAAAACAAAUGUAUUUUUUUUGUAGCUGGCAGACUGAAAAAGAAAAGUUCUGGCGAACUCACUGAUGAUGAGAAAAGUGGACAGAUGUCGGUGUGAAGUGAAGGAACUGUCUGAUAUCUUCAAAGACAAAAAGCAUCAGAACUGUGCUGACUGUGGGGGAAGCUGGUAUCGGAAAGUCCAUGUGAAGAAAUUCAUAAAGGAAUGGGCUGAAAAUGACAAAACAUUUUUUUCACAUUUAUUCACUUUGAAAAAAAACGAACAUGACAAGUACCAGAUCCUGAUUGUUCUGGAUGGUUUGGAUGAAUGUCGCCUUGGUCUUGAGUUCAGCGAAAGACACUUUCUGACAGAUGUGAGACAGAAAACCUCAGCGAACAUUCUGCUGACAAACCUCAUCAUGGGAAAUCUGCUACCUAAAGGUUGGAGUUUUGAUGUCUUCAGGAUUAUUCUAUAUUACAUAAAAUGUAGAAAAUAAUUAAAAUCAAUGGCAUGAGGAGGUGUGUUCAAA